AGCCUACCCUGGUGAAAAGAUAUAAUAGAGGUAUUUCUGAUGAUGAUUUAUGGAGUCAACCAGCAUCAUUCUAGAACAACUGACACUUUUCCAGCACAGGGCUAUACAGGUAGUGUGCCUGUUUACUGUAUAUCACAAUUUGUGACCCUUCUAUAACCUCACUUCUGCACUGAACACAAGCAAUGAACCCGUGACCUCUCAGAAGAAUGGUAUUUCAGACGUGACUCCCAAUGUUUCCUUGAGCUGCACUGUUAUUACAGAAAGAUCGUCCUUGGUAUAGCAGAUUUUUACUGAUUCAGCUACUC